GAACGAACGCUGGCGGCGCGUUUUAAGCAUGCAAGUCGAGGGGUAGAGAAUCUUCGGAUUCUUGAGACCGGCGAACGGGUGAGUAACACGUAGGUGAUCUGCCACGAGGUUGGGGAUAGCCCAUGGAAACAUGGGGUAAUACCGAAUGAGCUCUUUUUACUAUGGUGAGAAGAGGAAAAGCGCUUCGGCGCUGCCUUGUGAUGAGCCUGCGGCUGAUUAGCUUGUUGGUGGGGUAACGGCCUACCAAGGCAACGAUCGGUAGCCGGCCUGAGAGGGUGAUCGGCCACACUGGGACUGAGAUACGGCCCAGACUCCUACGGGAGGCAGCAGCUAAGAAUCUUCCGCAAUGGACGAAAGUCUGACGGAGCGACGCCGCGUGGGUGAAGAAGGCCGAGAGGUUGUAAAGCCCUUUUCUGUCUGAGGAAUAAGCUUGGGAGGGAAUGCCCGAGUGAUGACGGUAGGACAGGAAUAAGCCCCGGCUAAUUACGUGCCAGCAGCCGCGGUAACACGUAUGGGGCGAGCGUUGUUCGGAAUUAUUGGGCGUAAAGGGCGCGUAGGCGGAUAUACAAGUCUGGUGUGAAAGACCGCAGCUUAACUGCGGGAGCGCGCUGGAAACUGUAUGUCUUGAAUCCUUGAGGGGAAACUGGAAUUCCUGGUGUAGGGGUGAAAUCUGUAGAUAUCAGGAAGAACAUCGGUGGCGAAGGCGAGUUUCUGGCAAGUGAUUGACGCUGAGGCGCGAAAGCGUGGGGAGCAAACAGGAUUAGAUACCCUGGUAGUCCACGCUGUAAACGAUGUGCACUAGGCGUUGGGGUGUUGAAACCUCAGUGCCGGAGCUAACGUGGUAAGUGCACCGACUGGGGAGUAUGCCGG
rnacentral:rRNA from 1 species